rnacentral:rRNA from 1 species
UACCAGCACCCCGAGUGGUCGGGACGUUAUUGGGCCUAAAGCAUCCGUAGCCGGUUCUACAAGUCUUCCGUUAAAUCCAACUGCUUAACAGGUGGGCUGCGGAAGAUACUAUAGAGCUAGGAGGCGGGAGAGGCAAGCGGGUACUCGAUGGGUAGGGGUAAAAUCCGUUGAUCCAUUGAAGACCACCAGUGGCGAAGGCGGCUUGCCAGAACGCGCUCGACGGUGAGGGAUGAAAGCUGGGGGAGCAAACCGG